ensembl:lncRNA
GGAACAGUGGUGAUUGGUGAUUGGUUGUUUGGAACAGUGAUGAUUGGUUGUGGUGAUCGGUGAUUGGUUGAUGGGAACAGUGAUGAUCGGUGAUUGGUUGAUGGAACAGUGAUGAUCGGUGAUUGGUUGAUGGAACAGUGGGGAUCGGUGACUGGUUGAUGGGAACAGUGGUGAUUGGUGAUUGGUUUUUGGGAACAGUGGUGAUUGGUGAUUGGUUGUUUGGAACAGUGAUGAUUGGUUGUGGUGAUCGGUGAUUGGUUGAUGGUGAUUGUGGUGAUUGGUGAUUGGUUGAUGGGAACAGUGGUGAUUGGUUUUUGGGAACAGUGCUGAUUGGUGAUUGGCUGAAUCUACUACAGGACAGUUAAAAAGUCGCUAGAUUUUAUAUGAAAAAAAUAAUAUGCAGUGUAGCUCAUGCUCAUGGUCUUAAACUGAAGCACUCUUUUGUUUCUUUAUUUUAGCGCAUUGCUAACUUUUGACAGGAGACUAUAAUUACACACCCACAUGGAUUACAGUCAACACCAGAACAGGCAAAAAUAAUGAUAUAAACAUUGCACACUUUUCACUCAAACUGCAUUCUCAGAAGAUCUUUUAUUUACCUAACAGUAUUUCUGAUUAAAUAGAUGCCAAUAAUUCUGCAGCUGCUUCACAGCUGUUUGCUCGUUCCUUU